GUGGGGAAUCUUCCGCAAUGGACGAAAGUCUGACGGAGCAACGCCGCGUGAGUGAAGAAGGUUUUCGGAUCGUAAAGCUCUUUCGUUAGGGACGAACGUGCUCUUUGUGAAUAAUGAGGAGUAAUGACGGUACCUAAAUAAGAAGCCACGGCUAACUACGUGCCAGCAGCCGCGGUAAUACGUAGGUGGCAAGCGUUGUCCGGAAUUAUUGGGCGUAAAGCGCGCGCAGGCGGGAUAUCAAGUCUGUCUUAAAAGUGCGAGGCUCAACCUCGUGAGGGGACAGAAACUGGUAUUCUUGAGUGUCGGAGAGGAAAGUGGAAUUCCAAGUGUAGCGGUGAAAUGCGUAGAGAUUUGGAAGAACACCAGUGGCGAAGGCGACUUUCUGGACUGUGUCUGACGCUGAGAUGCGAAAGCCAGGGUAGCGAACGGGAUUAGAAACCCCUGUAGUCC
rnacentral:rRNA from 1 species